UCAAGCGAAUAAGUGCAUGUGGUGGAUGCCUUGGCGAUUACAGGCGAAGAAAGACGUGGCAGCCUGCGAAAAGCUGCGGGGAGCUGGCAACAAGCUUUGAUCCGCAGAUAUCUGAAUGGGGAAACCCGGCCCUUUGGGUCAUCCUGUACUGAAUACAUAGGUACAGAGAAGCGAACCCGGCGAACUGAAACAUCUAAGUAGCCGGAGGAAAAGAAAUCAACCGAGAUUCCGUAAGUAGUGGCGAGCGAACGCGGAAGAGCCUGCAAACUUUAGCUUCAUUGUUAGUGGAACAGUCUGGAAAGUCUGGCCAUAGUGGGUGAUAGCCCCGUACGCGAAAACAGUGGAGUGGAACUAGGUUUGGAACAAGUAGGGCGGGGCACGAGAAACCCUGUCUGAACAUGGGGGGACCAUCCUCCAAGGCUAAAUACUCGUAAUCGACCGAUAGUGAACCAGUACCGUGAGGGAAAGGCGAAAAGAACCCCGGAAGGGGAGUGAAAUAGAACCUGAAACCGCAUGCAUACAAACAGUGGGAGCCCGCAAGGGUGACUGCGUACCUUUUGUAUAAUGGGUCAGCGACUUACAUUCAGUAGCGAGCUUAACCGAAUAGGGGAGGCGUAGGGAAACCGAGUCUGAUAAGGGCGAUAGUUGCUGGGUGUAGACCCGAAACCAAGUGAUCUAUCCAUGGCCAGGAUGAAGGUGUGGUAACACACACUGGAGGUCCGAACCCACUAACGUUGAAAAGUUAGGGGAUGAGCUGUGGAUAGGGGUGAAAGGCUAAACAAACUUGGAAAUAGCUGGUUCUCUCCGAAAACUAUUUAGGUAGUACCUCAUGUAUCACUCUCGGGGGUAGAGCACUGUCAUGGCUAGGGGUCUAUUGCUGAUUACCAAACCAUUGCAAACUCCGAAUACCGAGAAGUGCGAGCAUGGGAGACAGACAUCGGGUGCUAACGUCCGGUGUCAAGAGGGAAACAACCCAGACCGCCAGCUAAGGUCCCCAAGACACAGUUAAGUGGAAAACGAAGUGGGAAGGCUAAAACAGUCAGGAGGUUGGCUUAGAAGCAGCCAUCCUUUAAAGAAAGCGUAAUAGCUCACUGAUCGAGUCGUCCUGCGCGGAAGAUGUAACGGGGCUCAAACUGUGCACCGAAGCUGCGGAUAUGCGUAAGCAUAUGGUAGGAGAGCGUUCUGUAGGCCUGCGAAGGUGUUCUGUGAAGAAUGCUGGAGGUAUCAGAAGUGCGAAUGCUGACAUGAGUAGCGAUAAAGGGAGUGAAAGGCUCCCUCGCCGAAAGCCCAAGGUUUCCUGCGCAACGUUCAUCGGCGCAGGGUGAGUCGGCCCCUAAGGCGAGGCAGAAAUGCGUAGUCGAUGGGAAACAGGUUAAUAUUCCUGUACCUCAAUACAAUGCGAUGUGGGGACGGAGAAGGUUAGGCAAGCCAGGUGUUGGACGUCCUGGUUUAAGCGUGUAGGCAGAUCUCUUAGGCAAAUCCGGGAGAUUAAUGCUGAGGCGUGAUGACGGUUGCCCUCUGGGCACGAAGUUGCUGAUACCAUGCUUCCAAGAAAAGCCACUAAGCUUCAGUUGUAUUGAGACCGUACCGCAAACCGACACAGGUGGGCAGGAUGAGAAUUCUAAGGCGCUUGAGAGAACUCGGGUGAAGGAACUCGGCAAAUUAGCACCGUAACUUCGGGAGAAGGUGCGCCCUUGUAGGUUGUAGUCCCUCGCGGACGAAGGCCGAAUGGGUUGCAGUGAAAUGGUGGCUGCGACUGUUUAAUAAAAACACAGCACUCUGCAAACACGAAAGUGGACGUAUAGAGUGUGACGCCUGCCCGGUGCUGGAAGAUUAAAUGAUGGGGUGCAAGCUCUUGAUUGAAGUCCCAGUAAACGGCGGCCGUAACUAUAACGGUCCUAAGGUAGCGAAAUUCCUUGUCGGGUAAGUUCCG
rnacentral:rRNA from 1 species